rnacentral:rRNA from 1 species
AUUGAACGCUAGCGGGAUGCCUUACACAUGCAAGUCGAACGGAGUGGCGAACGGGUGAGUAAUGUAUCGGAACGUGUCCAGUAGCGGGGGAUAACUACGCGAAAGCGUAGCUAAUACCGCAUACUAUCGGAGCGGCCGAGAUCGGAUUAGCUAGUUGGUGGGGUAAAGGACUACCAAGGAGACGAUCCGUAGCUGGUUUGAGAGGACGACCAGCCACACUGGGACUGAGACACGGCCCAGACUCCUACGGGAGGCAGCAGUGGGGAAUAUUGGACAAGGGGGGAAACCCUGAUCCAGCCAUGCCGCGUGUGUGAUGAAGGCCUUCGGAUUGUAAAGCACUUUUGGCAGGAAAGCGGUACCUGCAGAAUAAGCACCGGCUAACUACGUGCCAGCAGCCGCGGUAAUAC